rnacentral:rRNA from 1 species
GAUGAACGCUAGCGGGAGGCUUAACACAUGCAAGUCGAGGGGCAGCAUAGGGUAGCAAUACUCUGAUGGCGACCGGCAAACGGGUGAGUAACGCGUAUGCAACCUACCCUGUACAGGGGGAUAACCCGGAGAAAUUCGGACUAAUAUCCCGUAAUAAUAUCCGGAGGCAUCUUUGGAUAUUUAAAGUUCCGACGGUACGGGAUGGGCAUGCGUAACAUUAGCUGGUUGGUAAGGUAACGGCUUACCAAGGCUAUGAUGUUUAGGGGUCCUGAGAGGGUGGUCCCCCACACUGGUACUGAGACACGGACCAGACUCCUACGGGAGGCAGCAGUGAGGAAUAUUGGUCAAUGGGCGCAAGCCUGAACCAGCCAUCCCGCGUGCAGGAGGACGGCCCUAUGGGUUGUAAACUGCUUUUCCAGGGAGAGAAACUUACGCACGUGUUGCGUGACUGACGGUACCCUGGGAAUAAGCAUCGGCUAACUCCGUG